ensembl:snoRNA
CCUGAAACUAGAGUCACAAGCUGACAUAGCUCUGGUCCUGAUGUGCUGGAGUCUUUGGAGAGAAUCUGCUGCUCUUGAUUCACCAGUGAGGGCAAUCAGUGCCCCCAGUACUGCCCAGAUCAGAGCAUGU